GUAGUAGUGGUUCAGUGGUAGAAUUCUCACCUUCCACGUGGGAGAACCGAGUUCAAUUCCCUGUCAAUGCA
rnacentral:tRNA from 1 species